GGAUAGCCUUUCGAAAGAAAGAUUAAUACCCGAUGGUAUAAUUAGACCGCAUGGUCUUGUUAUUAAAGAAUUUCGGUUAUCGAUGGGGAUGCGUUCCAUUAGGCAGUUGGUGAGGUAACGGCUCACCAAACCUUCGAUGGAUAGGGGUUCUGAGAGGAAGGUCCCCCACAUUGGAACUGAGACACGGUCCAAACUCCUACGGGAGGCAGCAGUGAGGAAUAUUGGUCAAUGGGCGCAGGCCUGAACCAGCCAAGUAGCGUGAAGGAUGACUGCCCUAUGGGUUGUAAACUUCUUUUAUAUGGGAAUAAAGUUUUCCACGUGUGGAAUUUUGUAUGUACCAUAUGAAUAAGGAUCGGCUAACUCCGUGCCAGCAGCCGCGGUAAUACGGAGGAUCCGAGCGUUAUCCGGAUUUAUUGGGUUUAAAGGGAGCGUAGGUGGACAGUUAAGUCAGUUGUGAAAGUUUGCGGCUCAACCGUAAAAUUGCAGUUGAUACUGGCUGUCUUGAGUACAGUAGAGGUGGGCGGAAUUCGUGGUGUAGCGGUGAAAUGCUUAGAUAUCACGAAGAACUCCGAUUGCGAAGGCAGCUCACUGGACUGCAACUGACACUGAUGCUCAAAAGUGUGGGUAUCAAACAGGAUUAGAUACCCUGGUAGUCCACACAGUAAACGAUGAAUACUCGCUGUUUGCGAUAUACAGUAAGCGGCCAAG
rnacentral:rRNA from 1 species